GACGAACGCUGGCGGCGUGCUUAACACAUGCAAGUCGAACGGUGCAGCGCCUUCCUUUUUGGUGGGUGUGGAUGAGUGGCGAACGGGUGAGUAUCACGUGAGUAACCUUCCCCCUUCUUCUUGAUAACCGCAUGAAAUUGUUGCUAAUACGGGAUAUUCUGGGUCUGUCGCAUGAUGGGUCUGGGAAAGUUAUUGUUUCGGUGGGGGAUUGGCUCGCGGCCUAUCAGCUUCGUGGCGGGGUGAUGGCCUACCAAGGCGGUGACGGUUAGCCGGCCUGAGCGGGUUGAAGGUCAGACUGGGAAUGAGAAACGGCCAAGACGCGUAAGGGACGCAGCAGAGAGGAAUAGGGGACGAUGGGCGGAAGACUGAUGGAGCGACGCCGAGAGAGGGAUGGAGGACUUCGGGUUGUGAACCGAUGGCGCUAGUGAAGCAGGCCUGCCUCGUUUGUGGGUGGGUUGACGGUAGCUGGAUAAGAAGCGCCGGCUAACUACGUG
rnacentral:rRNA from 1 species